CCUACGGGAGGCAGCAGUGGGGAAUUUUGGACAAUGGGCGCAAGCCUGAUCCAGCAAUGCCGCGUGAGUGAAGAAGGCCUUCGGGUUGUAAAGCUCUUUUGUCAGGGAAGAAACGGUGGGAGCUAAUAUCUCCUACUAAUGACGGUACCUGAAGAAUAAGCACCGGCUAACUACGUGCCAGCAGCCGCGGUAAUACGUAGGGUGCAAGCGUUAAUCGGAAUUACUGGGCGUAAAGCGUGCGCAGGCGGUUUUGUAAGUCUGUCGUGAAAGCCCCGGGCUCAACCUGGGAAUUGCGAUGGAGACUGCAAGGCUUGAAUCUGGCAGAGGGGGGUAGAAUUCCACGUGUAGCAGUGAAAUGCGUAGAGAUGUGGAGGAACACCGAUGGCGAAGGCAGCCCCCUGGGUCAAGAUUGACGCUCAUGCACGAAAGCGUGGGGAGCAAACAGGAUUAGAUACCCUGGUAGUCCACGCCCUAAACGAUGUCUACUAGUUGUCGGGUUUUAAUUAACUUGGUAACGCAGCUAACGCGUGAAGUGACCGCCUGGGGAUCGGUCGCAAGNUAAACUUAAGGAAUUGNGNGNGNGAGNGCGAGAGACGAGAGGAGAG
rnacentral:rRNA from 1 species